CAUGAUAAGAAUUUCAUGUCUUUUGUAUUAAAGAAUUAAAUGGAUGAAAUAUGAAGUUUUAUUAAAAGAAAAAGGGGUGAAAAGAACAAAGUUUUGUCCAUCUUUGUUCAUCAUAGCUGAAAGUUAGAGAAGAGAAAAGAGAGGAAAAAGCUCUUGAGUAUUUGGUCAUUAGGAGGAGGAAAAUUGAAGGCGGUUCGUGUGUGGAUCUCGUCAGCAUAUCGUCGCAAACAGGAAAUCCCCAACCAUAGUGGGCUUGGAGCUGUGAGGGAAUUCGGAGUGGCCACCCGUUCUGAAAGUUUGAUUUUCUUCUGGUGAACUGGACAUCCUUUUAUUUACGUUUGAAGUUUUGGGCUUUUAAAUGUAAUAAGGCCGCUUAAUUAUUUUUGAUGAUUUUAAUAUGUAUUACUAAGAUAGGUAAUACUUAUUUUAACUGUUGAAAUUAGAUA